AUGUGUGUACCGAAGAAGAAAGGGGGCUUUGGAUUUAGAGACCUUCACGGUUUUAACCUUGCUAUGUUAGCAAAACAGUGUUGGCGACUAAUCCAGAAUCCGAACUCCCUAUGUGCACGUGUUUUGAGCAAAUAUUAUCCUAACGGAAUCAUAUUGCAAGCUAGACCAAAGAACGGGUCGUCAUUUACUUGGUAGAGCAUAGUUGUAGGUAUUCAAAUUUUCUGGAGGGGGUGCAUUUGGCAUGUAGGUACAAGAGCACAAAUUGAUCUAUGGCGGGACCCCUGGAUCCCUUCGAGUCCUUCAAGGAAGGUAAUCACCCCUAGAGGUGCAAUGAUGCUCAGCUUUGUGGAAGAGCUUACUGAUCCACGCCUUAGACAGUGGGACGAAGUGCUAAUCAGAGAUGUAUUCUCUCCUGUUGAUGCUCAUAGGAUCCUUCAAGUUCCUUUGAAUGUGUAGAUUAUGGAGGAUUUUAUUGCUUGGAACUACACGCGAUCAAGAACCUUUUCGGUUAUAUCAACAUAUCACAGGGAGUUCGAGCACCAAUAUGUGUGGAGUCUUACUAUAACAGAUGGACAGGGAAACAUACAGAUGAAUGCGAUAUGAAAGGAAGUGUGGAACCUAAAACUCCUAGGGAAAAUUAAGCACUUUAUUUGGAAGGCACUAAAUGGCUCAUUGCCUUGUUUUGGAGUACUGGCUAAUAGGCAUAUUCCGGUAGAGCCGCAAUGUCCUUUUUGUUCUAUUAGGCUGGAAGACAUCCAUGAUUGUUUAUUUACGUGUAAAAGGGCGAAGGAAAGUCUGGAUUGA
rnacentral:rRNA from 1 species